UACGAAGGGGGCGAGCGUUGUUCGGAGUUACUGGGCGUAAAGGGCGUGUAGGCGGUUAGUUAAGUCUGGCGUGAAAGCUCUCGGCUAAACCGGGAGAGGUCGUUGGAUACUGGCUGACUAGAGGACGGUAGAGGCGUGUGGAAUUCCGGGUGUAGUGGUGAAAUGCGUAGAGAUCCGGAGGAACACCAGUGGCGAAGGCGACUACCUGGCCUGUUUCUUGACGCUGAGGCGCGAAAGCUAGGGGAGCAAACGGG
rnacentral:rRNA from 1 species